CGGGUAUAGUUCAACGGUAGAACCUCAGCCUUCCAAGCUGAUGGUGCGGGUUCGAUUCCCGCUACUC
rnacentral:tRNA from 1 species